rnacentral:rRNA from 1 species
AUUGAACGCUGGCGGCAGGCCUAACACAUGCAAGUCGAGCGGAUGAAGGGAGCUUGCUCCUGGAUUCAGCGGCGGACGGGUGAGUAAUGCCUAGGAAUCUGCCUGGUAGUGGAGGAUAACGUCCGGAAACGGGCGCUAAUACCGCAUACGUCCUGAGGGAGAAAGUGGGGGAUCUUCGGACCUCACGCUAUCAGAUGAGCCUAGGUCGGAUUAGCUAGUUGGUGGGGUAAAGGCCUACCAAGGCGACGAUCCGUAACUGGUCUGAGAGGAUGAUCAGUCACACUGGAACUGAGACACGGUCCAGACUCCUACGGGAGGCAGCAGUGGGGAAUAUUGGACAAAGGGCGAAAGCCUGAUCCAGCCAUGCCGCGUGUGUGAAGAAGGUCUUCGGAUUGUAAAGCACUUUAAGUUGGGAGGAAGGGCAGUAAGUUAAUACCUUGCUGUUUUGACGUUACCAACAGAAUAAGCACCGGCUAACUUCGUG